GUAUUUUCGCUUCAACAGCACAAAUAUUAAAAUUGGAAUAAUACAGAGAAGAUUACUAUGGCCACUGCAUGAGGAUGACAUGCAAAUUCAUGAAGCAUGCCAUAAAAAA
ensembl:snRNA U6 U6 spliceosomal RNA